rnacentral:rRNA from 1 species
GGUCAAGUUAUUAAGGGUGCAGGGCGGAUGCCUUGGCACUAGGAGCCGAUGAAGGACGUGAUAAGCUGCGAUAAGCUUCGGGGAGUUGCACGUAAACUUUGAUCCGAAGAUUUCCGAAUGAGGAAACUCACUUAGAGUAAUGUCUAAGUAUCAUUAAGUGAAUACAUAGCUUAAUGAGGGGAACUCAGGGAACUGAAACAUCUAAGUACCUGAAGGAAGAGAAAGAAAUUCGAUUCCGUAAGUAGCGGCGAGCGAACGCGGAUUAGCCCAAACCAAUAAAGUUUUCUUUAUUGGGGUUGCGGACAUAUCAUAACGAAGAGGUAUCGUAAUUGAAGAGGUUUGGAAAGACCCACCACAGAAGGUAAUAGUCCUGUAUGUUAAACGAGAAGACUUCAGAUAUGAUCCAGAGUACCACGGGACACGUGAAACCCUGUGGGAAGCAGGAGGGACCACCCUCCAAGGCUAAAUACUACCUAGUGACCGAUAGCGUAUAGUACCGUGAGGGAAAGGUGAAAAGAACCCCGGGAGGGGAGUGAAAUAGAACCUGAAACCCUGCACUUACAAGCUGUGGAAGCACAUUUCUUGUGUGACCGCGUACUUUUUGUAGAACGGGCCAACGAGUUACGUUAAGUAGCAAGGUUAAGCACUUAAGGUGCGGAGCCGUAGCGAAAGCGAGUUUUAACUGAGCGUUCAGUUACUUGACGUAGACCCGAAACCGGGCGACCUACCCAUGAGCAGGAUGAAGCGAAAGUAAAAUUUCGUGGAGGUCCGAACCCACGAGCGUUGAA